GUGCUUCAGCAGCACGUAUACUAAAAUUGGAAUGCUUCAGAGAAGAUUAGCAUGGCCCCUGUGCAAGGAUGACACACAAAUUUGUGAGGUGUUCCAUGUCUUU
ensembl:snRNA U6 U6 spliceosomal RNA